GCGUCGGUGGUGUAAUGGCGUAAAGUAUUUGCGCCCAGUCAGCAGGAAGAGCGGGUUCAAAUCCCGCCUGGCGCU
rnacentral:tRNA from 1 species